GAUUUUUGAAGCAGCUUAAGCGAUAGCAGGGAGGCCUCAUUCUAGGAUUGGGGGAAGCAAGCAAGCCGCCUUGAAAGUUUCUGGUUUUAAACCCAGACUCCUAGCUUGAAUUCUGCAGGAGCGUAGAAAUACACUCAUAAUUUAUAGCUCUAAAAAUAUCAGUAUUACUCACAAAAAGGAAAUAGGGUCUGGAAGCCUUGAGUAUCCUUAUUCUGCUAGGUUCUUGAACCCUGCUGGCCUUCCUGGUCCAUCUUUGGAAGCCAGCAGCAGCUAGGGUCCUUUCAGCCUUAACCUACUGAAUGCCAAGUCUCAACAACAAAAUCUCCCACCUCCAGGAACCAUGGAUGCUCCUGCUAGGCUUGAGCUAGAGGGACCCUUCUCAGACCUCCUGAAUCACUUUGGCAGCUGAUUGAAGAAGCCUCCUGGGGCCUUGAUGUGCUUCUGCUUCAAGCAAGAUGGUCAGUGACUUGUUCAGUUAAGCACCAGCCUCCCGAUCCUGCCUCACAGAGAGAGGCAGUGGAAGCUGCCUGCUUCUCUAGGCCAUACCAGCUGGCUUCUGAGAAAGGAGAAGGCUGCCAUUUUUUUAUACAUCAGUCAAGGUCACACUGGAAGCUAAGACAGACCAUACUUUUGCCUCAGUUAUCUUCCUAUCCAAAGUCGUUGCUAAGCUGAAAAGACUAUCCAUGGCUGUGCUGACCUGUCUUUCUCAUCCUCUGGUCUUCUAUCUGUCCUCCCUCUGCUUUAGCCAUGUGGCCUUACUGCUUCUUAAACACACUGAGCACCAGUGUCUCUGGGGGUCUUCAGCUAUGCUGGUUCUUCCACACACAGGCUUGGCUGGAGGCCAACACUUAUGAGGCUUAUGGAUGUCCUACUGUAGCUCAUUGAACCCACUAAUUUACUGUAGGAAGAGAAGAUCUUGCCAGUUGACCGCAGAAUCCUAAGGUCUGUGCUGACAUACUACAGUGUGACUGCCACUCGUCUGGGCAAGAAGAACCUUAGAAGAUGCAAGAAGAGCCUUACAGCCUUCUGAGUGAUGGAUUAACCAUGUGACACCAUGCCGGGCCCUGAUCUAAGUGAUUUGAGAAGCUACUUCAUAAGUGGUUGAAUAUUUUUAUUGCAGAGAACACAGAUUUUUUGCAAGAGUCCAGUAACACCUUCUGUGAUACAGAAACAGCACCUGGGACGAAGGGUAACUAAUGCUCCAGAGGGCGAGAAGGAAGUAUUCUGUAGGGUAAAGAAAGCAGAAGUUUGCAGAGAUGCUGCAAUAUCAGAGACUCCACACCAAUCUCAGGACUUGAGGAGGGUAUGCUCCAACAGAACAAAGGAGGCCAGCUCAGGGGCACUGAGGAGUAACUGAUAGCGAACAACUGGGCUAGACCCUUUCCUUAAAGUCAGUAGCCUACAAAUUUCAGGACUCUAAUCAUUAGUCACUGGACUGGGACUUGAGUCCUACCUUUAGCCAUGGAUAGAGACUUGAAAUCCAAAAUAGCCUGGUAAGUCAUUAAUUGAUAAUUAUUUAAAACCAGAGUCCUAAUGGUACAGAUUACUGUAUGGCAGGAGACUUUCUGACAAAACCAAGGAUAUACUAUUUACUAUUGCCCCCUCCUUUAAGACUCAGACCAGACUUAUCAACCACAUGGAUAAGACCAAUUCGACUGCUCAGAAGAAGCUGCUUGGUUCAGAGACUUUAGGUUUGGUAUAAAGUCUGCCUCAAUGUAGAUCAGCACAACUGUCCCUUUGGUCACUGUCCACUCUCGGCCCUUGAGAGCAUGCCUUGGUUCACUCAGUAAUAAACUCUUCUUACAUGCUAUGUGUUGUCAACAGAGACUGAAAGGACAGGAAGCCAAGGGGAGUCCAAAAAUGAGAUUGUGGUGACAAUUGCCAUUUCAAGUGCUAAAUUGUAAGAAUAACUUAUGAAGUGUUUUGAUCUAGCUUCUUCUUUCUUGCCUCUCUUUUCAUAGUCAAUGGAUUCUUGCUUCCCGAAUAGUCCCUUUCAUCAUCAGGCUUCUGCACAUGUCCCUGUGCUUGGAGCCCUCUCACUUUUCCCCCUCCCAUUUUCCUCUCACGUACCCCAGAUGUUCUGACAAGGCAAGAAUUUCUCCUCGAGGUUCUCAGCUUAUCUCGAACCCUCCCCCAACCUGAUUCCCAAGCUUGCAAUUAGAAGCCCCUUCCAUGUAUGCUACAGAUCUCUUGUUUACCAUGGCCCCAUCCCUCCUUAUGGUGCAAACCGGAUUAUUGCCUGUUGGUGGGUGUGUAUCCUACAGGGGCUGUGAAUUUAGGAAGGUAGGGAUGAUGCUUGUCAUUCACCAUGGGAGACACCAACAUCAGUUAGGAGUGUGUUAGGAAUGCAAACUCCUGGGCCUCAGUUUUCAGAACUACUGGGCUGGACUCCAGAGGUGAGACUCAGGGUUGUGAUUCACAAAACCUGCAAAUAAGCCUUUAAGGUGCCUGACUUGAUAAAUGUGUAAUGCUAUGCUGACCGUGUUGUCCUCAUCAGUCACUUAGCUUCUCAUGCCUUCUGAUUCCCAGCUACAGUGUGCUGACCCCCUCUCAUAGCGUCAGGCAAAGCCCAUGUAAGGUUUAUGUGGAAGCCCUUGUAUAACAUACAGUUAAGGUUUGUUCUUUCUAAGUUCUUCAUUCUUAUUGUAAUUUAACUAAUUGCUUGCAGGGUGGCCUUCAAUUCUUGAUCCAUUUUAUGCCACCUUGAGCUAUUACUGCUGUGCCUACAGGUCCAAGCAAAGAUAGUUAGGAAAGAAUGUGUGUGAAGUCUGCAGGUGGCCCAUCUGAUCGGGAAUCUGACUAACUGUGUAGGCUGAACAACACAUGUUAAUAGAUGACAGAAUAUUGACAUGUUUUCUUUCUAAACAUCAAGCCUACGGGCUAAAUAGGAAUUAUCACUUAAAAAUGAUAGAACUGGUUAUCAAUAUUUCUCAGUGUAUAUUUAAGCAACAGCAUUGAUCCUCUUGGUAAAUGGUUUUCAAGUUUUGGUUAACC